rnacentral:rRNA from 1 species
AUUGAACGCUGGCGGCAUGCUUUACACAUGCAAGUCGAACGGCAGCGCGGGCUUCGGCCUGACGGCGAGUGGCGAACGGGUGAGUAAUGCAUCGGAACGUGCCCAGUAGUGGGGGAUAGCCGGCGAAAGCCGGAUUAAUACCGCAUACGACCUGAGGGUGGAAGCGGGGGACCGAAAGGCCUCGCGCUAUUGGAGCGGCCGAUGUCGGAUUAGCUAGUUGGUGGGGUAAAGGCUUACCAAGGCGACGAUCCGUAGCUGGUCUGAGAGGACGACCAGCCACACUGGGACUGAGACACGGCCCAGACUCCUACGGGAGGCAGCAGUGGGGAAUUUUGGACAAUGGGGGCAACCCUGAUCCAGCCAUGCCGCGUGCGGGAAGAAGGCCUUCGGGUUGUAAACCGCUUUUGUUCGGGAAGAAAUCCUCUGGGCUAAUACCCCGGGGGGAUGACGGUACCGGAAGAAUAAGCACCGGCUAACUACGUG